UAGGGAAUCUUCGGCAAUGGGGGGAACCCUGACCGAGCAACGCCGCGUGAGUGAAGAAGGUUUUCGGAUCGUAAAGCUCUGUUGUUAAGGAAGAACGAGUGUGAGAAUGGAAAGUUCAUGCUGUGACGGUACUUAACCAGAAAGGGACGGCUAACUACGUGCCAGCAGCCGCGGUAAUACGUAGGUCCCGAGCGUUGUCCGGAUUUAUUGGGCGUAAAGCGAGCGCAGGCGGUUAGAAAAGUCUGAAGUGAAAGGCAGUGGCUCAACCAUUGUAGGCUUUAGAAACUGUUUAACUUGAGUGCAGAAGGGGAGAGUGGAAUUCCAUGUGUAGCGGUGAAAUGCGUAGAUAUAUGGAGGAACACCGGUGGCGAAAGCGGCUCUCUGGUCUGUAACUGACGCUAAGGCUCGAAAGCGUGGGGAGCGAACAGG
rnacentral:rRNA from 1 species